ACUGCGAAUGGCUCAUUAAAUCAGUUAUCGUUUAUUUGAUAGUACCUUACUACAUGGAUAACCGUGGUAAUUCUAGAGCUAAUACAUGCUAAAAACCUCGACUUCGGAAGGGGUGUAUUUAUUAGAUAAAAAACCAAUGCCCUUCGGGGCUCCUUGGUGAAUCAUAAUAACUUAACGAAUCGCAUGGCCUUGCGCCGGCGAUGGUUCAUUCAAAUUUCUGCCCUAUCAACUUUCGAUGGUAGGAUAGUGGCCUACCAUGGUAUCAACGGGUAACGGGGAAUUAGGGUUCGACUCCGGAGAGGGAGCCUGAGAAACGGCUACCACAUCCAAGGAAGGCAGCAGGCGCGCAAAUUACCCAAUCCCGACACGGGGAGGUAGUGACAAUAAAUACUGAUACAGGGCUCUUUUGGGUCUUGUAAUUGGAAUGAGUACAAUUUAAAUCCCUUAACGAGGAACAAUUGGAGGGCAAGUCUGGUGCCAGCAGCCGCGGUAAUUCCAGCUCCAAUAGCGUAUAUUAAAGUUGUUGCAGUUAAAAAGCUCGUAGUUGAACCUUGGGCCUGGCUGGCCGGUCCGCCUCACCGCGUGUACUGGUCCGGCCGGGCCUUUCCUUCUGGGGAACCUCAUGCCCUUCACUGGGCGUGUUGGGGAACCAGGACUUUUACUUUGAAAAAAUUAGAGUG
rnacentral:rRNA from 1 species